AUUGAACGCUGGCGGCAGGCCUAACACCUGCAAGUCGAACGAGUGGCGGACGGGUGAGUAAUGUCUGGGAAACUGCCUGAUGGAGGGGGCUAUCUACUGGAAACGGUAGCUAAUGCCGCAUCCCAUGAGAUGUGCCCAGAUGGGAUUAGCUUGUUGGUGGGGUAACGGCUCACCAAGGCGACGAUCCCUAGCUGGUCUGAGAGGAUGACCGGCCACAAUGGAAUUGAGACACUGUCCAGACGCCUACGGGAGGCGGCAGUGGGGAAUAUGGCACAAUGGGCGCAAGCCUGAUGCAGCCAUGCCGCGUGUAUGAAGAAGGCCUUCGGGUUGUAAAGUACUUUCAGCGGGGAGGCGUUACCCGCAGAAGAAGCACCGGCUAACUCCGUGCCAGCAGCCGCGGUAAUUC
rnacentral:rRNA from 1 species